rnacentral:misc_RNA from 1 species
AGGUGAAAGCCCGCGAAUGGG